rnacentral:lncRNA from 1 species
UUGGUUGUAAUAUCGUGCUGCUCGUUGUUGAUAAGCAGCAGUCCGGACUUGAGCUUCUUCCCUGACUUCUUCAAGAGCAUCCAGGUUGCUUCUUAACUUGUCCCCAUUAGUGUCCUCACUAACAAAUUGGACUCGAUGAGUGGGGAUCUGCAACUCAACUGGAACUACGGCCUCUGUGCCGUAAGCGAGUGCGAACGGUGUUUCUUUAGUGGGUGCUCUUGGAGUAGUUCGGAGUGCCCAUAGGAUGCUAUUGAGUUCUUCUGCCCAAUUCUCCUUUGCACCAUCCAGCCGCUUCU